GUUUAAUAUAGUAGAUAACUGUACCAAAAUAUAUCACUAUCGUUCCUCAAUAUCCUUAAUAUCAUGAUAUUAAUCACCCUAAAUGUGACUGGACUCGAGCUACAAAGAAUAAUCAUACCUAUUUUAUUAGCACAACAUAAACUUCAAACGAGCUUAUGGCAAUACUUUUCCCUUCUGAAUAUUUUGUUUCGAAGCUUCAUUAUCCUCUAAUUGAUUAGGAACAAGAACAAGGAUAAAACUAUUUAAGAAGGCCCGUUAUUGGAUCAGAUUCUGUCCAUAUGAUAUAAUUGAUAUUUUUGUAUACUCAUCACUGACCUGCGAAAACCACUAACAUUCUACAAUUGUUGCAGAUAUCUCCCUCCAGGAGUAGGGUUCCAUAUUUCUUUCACAAAUCAAUUUCCCUGGAUCUUACAGACCAUGUGUUUGGAAAAUCAAACUUUGUGAAGAGCACCCAUAAUCAUGAAAUUCUUCAAAGAGUAGCAAAGCAUAUUACAACCCAUCUUAACACGCAAUUUCUUAUUUUGCACCUCCCCCGUCAUUUUUUAAGAUGUGGGAAACAGGCAUACAAAUCAGACUUAGGGUGUUUAGCUUCAGCAUGCUCUCGACACUUCACCUCAGUCGUGGUACACAUGAAAGUCUGCAUGCAAACCUUGCACUGGAUGGUCAUGGCUUUCUUGUUAGAGUCAAGCUGGCUUCCCUUAACAGCUUUCUGCUUCUCCAUGUGCUUAUCACGUGCCAUCUUGGCUUUCUGGCCGUUGCCUCCUCCCAUGGUUGAUUGAUUUCAGAAAGUUGAAUGAAACUAUGCGCUUCUUUAUUAAGAUCGGGGAUGGAGGCGAACGGCGGAGGAAGAUGCAGAGAAGGAAUUCCAACUAAGAAGGUUCGGG
rnacentral:misc_RNA from 1 species